rnacentral:rRNA from 1 species
GAUGAACGCUGGCGGCGUGCCUAAUACAUGCAAGUCGAGCGAAGGGACGAGAAGGUUGCUUUUCGGAUGUUAGCGGCGGACGGGGGGGUAACACGUGGAUAACCUACCUAUAAAACUGGGAUAAAUUCGGGAAACCGGGGCGGAUACGGGGAAAUAUUUUGAACGGCAUUGUUACAAAGUGUAAGACGGUCUUGCUGUCACUUAUAGAGUGAGCCGCGCUGUAGUAGCUAGUGGGUAAGGUAACGGCUUACCAAGACAACGAUGCAUAGCAGACCUGCGAGGCUGCUCGCCCACACUGGAUUUGAGACACGUUCCACACCCCUACGGGAGGCACCCGUAGCGAACCUCCCGCAAUGGGCGCAGGCCUGACGUAGCAACGCCGCGUGAGUGAUGAAGGUCGCCGGACCGUAAAACUCUGUUAUUAGGGAAGAACAUAUGUGUAAGUAACUGUGCACAUCUUGACGGUACCUUAUCAGAAAGCCACGGCUAACUACGUG